rnacentral:rRNA from 1 species
UACAGAGGGUGCAAACGUUGCUCGGAAUUAUUGGGCGUAAAGCGCGUGUAGGCGGCUUGUUAAGUUGGUUGUGAAAACCCAUGGCUCAACCAUGGAAGGGCGUCCAAAACUGGCAAGCUAGAGUCCCGACGAGGAUGGCGGAAUUCCCAGUGUAGAGGUGAAAUUCGUAGAUAUUGGGAAGAACACCGAUGGCGAAGGCAGCCAUCUGGACCGACACUGACGCUAAGGCGCGAAAGCGUGGGGAGCAAACAGG